rnacentral:lncRNA from 1 species
CUGAAGGUACUCAGACUCAGAAAUGCAUGUCUCUUACUCAUGAGCUCUUCCUCUCACAACAGCGGUGCCAUCUCCACCCUAUGACAUCACUUGUCUUGAAAGUUUUCGAGACUCAAUGGUUCUUGGAUGGAAGCAGCCAGAUAAGACCGGUGGGGCAGAGAUUACGGGCUAUUACGUGAACUAUCGUGAGGUGGUUGGCGGGGUACCAGGAAAAUGGAGGGAAGCCAACAUCAAGGCUGUCAGCGAUGCAGCCUACAAGAUCCCAACGUUGCUAGAUCCG